AUGUAAUAUAGCAUGAGAUAGUUGUAUGAAGAGUUAUGCAUGCCUUUCAUAAUUUACCCCUCUAGCAUUUGUGUUUAAUAUAGCAGCCAACUGUACAGGUAAAGCAUCCAAUUGAGAGAGUCACAAGGGCCCCAAAACAGAUGCAAAGGCUAACUAAUCAACUGCUUGGUUAGCCUCUCGAAAGAUGUGUGAGAUGGUCCAAGGAUAUGAAACAUCCCUUCAAGUCAAGACAUCCCUCAAUAUAGGCCACCCAUGUUUAAUUUUAGCUUUAGGAGAGGAAAUUCAUUUGAUGACUACAAAAGAAUCUCCCUCCAUCCAUAACUUCUCAGCUUGCAAAGAGAACAAGGCCUCAUGAAACCCCAUCCAAUGACCAACCAGCUCAGCAAAUGGAACAGAACACGGUGGCAAUUGGGAGGCUGCCGCUUUAAUAAGAUGGCCAUGCCAAUCCCUAAUGAUGAAUGCCAUUGCUGCAUCCUCAUUCGACACAGAACCAUCAAAAUUUAGCUUCAACAUUCCCAAGGGUGGGGGCUGCCACACAACAGAUAUAGAAGACGGUUGCCUCUAGUUGGCAGUGUAAUAGCAUCCCCAGUUCCUUAAUGGAUACGAAGCUGAAAAUAGAUUGUAGAGGGCGAGACUAUGGCUUAUGACCAUAAGCUGGCGCAUAACCUCUUGUGGAGCAAUAGUGACUUGCUCAAAUAUGCGACUAUUACGGGCCCUCCAUAUAAGCCACAUUAGCAACAUACAUACAGAAAGAUAAUCCCUGUACCUUGACCCUUAGGCCAC
rnacentral:lncRNA from 1 species